UACGUAGGGGGCAAGCGUUAUCCGGAAUCACUGGGUGUAAAGGGAGCGUAGACGGCUGAGCAAGCCUGAAGUGAAAGGCGGGGGCCCAACCCCCGGACUGCUUUGGGAACUGUACGGCUGGAGUGCAGGAGAGGUAAGUGGAAUUCAUAGUGUAGCGGUGAAAUGCAUAGAUAUCACGCAGAACUCCGAUUGCGAAGGCAGCAUGCCGGCUCCACACUGACGCUGAGGCACGAAAGCGUGGGUAUCGAACAGG
rnacentral:rRNA from 1 species